rnacentral:rRNA from 1 species
GGAUCUCUACGGGGGGCAGCAGUGGGGAAUAUUGGGCAAUGGGCGCAAGCCUGACCCAGCAACGCCGCGUGAAGGAAGAAGGCUUUCGGGUUGUAAACUUCUUUUCUCAGGGACGAAGAAAGUGACGGUACCUGAGGAAUAAGCCACGGCUAACUACGUGCCAGCAGCCGCGGUAAUACGUAGGUGGCAAGCGUUAUCCGGAUUUACUGGGUGUAAAGGGCGUGUAGGCGGGAAAGCAAGUCAGAUGUGAAAACCAC